rnacentral:rRNA from 1 species
AGAGGGUGCAAACGUUGCUCGGGAUUUACUGGGGCGUAAAGCGCGUGUAGGCGGACUCGCAAGUCGGGUUGUGAAAUCCCUGGGGCUCAACCUAGGGAACUGCAUCCGAAACUGCUUGUCUUGAGUAAUGGAGAGGGUGGCGGAAUUCCCGGUGUAGAGGUGAAAUUCGUAGAUAUCGGGAGGAACAUCAGUGGCGAAGGCGGCCACCUGGACAUUUACUGACGCUGAGACGCGAAAGCGUGGGGAGCAAACAGGAUUAGAUACCCUGGUAGUCCACGCCGUAAACGAUGAGCACUAGGUGCAGCGGAUAUUGACCUCUGCUGUGCCGUAGCUAACGCGUUAAGUGCUCCGCCUGGGGAGUACGGCCGCAAGGCUA